UACGGAGGGUGCGAGCGUUGUCCGGAAUCACUGGGCGUAAAGGGCGCGUAGGCGGCUCAUGAAGGCUGUGGUGAAAGUCCGGGCUCAACCUCGGAUCGGCCGUGGCGACUCGUGGGCUGGAGCACUGUAGAGGCGGGUGGAAUUCCGGGUGUAGCGGUGGAAUGCGUAGAGAUCCGGAAGAACACCAGUGGCGAAGGCGGCCCGCUGGCAGUGGCUGACGCUCAUGCACGAAAGCGUGGGGAGCAAACAGG
rnacentral:rRNA from 1 species